ensembl:lncRNA
UUUACAUUUUUUUUUAAGUAUUCAUGUGGGGAUGACCAUUUAUAGCCACUUCACAGACUUUUUCGUUCUCUCAUUUGUUAUGUAAUAAGUCAUAAGAUGAUGAUGAUAAUCAUUUUAUUAAGGUUUCCGAGUUAAACAUAGAACAGUGAAAAUGGGAAUAAUUUCAUUGUAUAACUACAUACACAUAACUGAUUUUUCCACUUUAUAUUUUUUAAUUGUCAGUUUAAAAACCAAAAACUUAUAUUAGAAUAUAAAAACUACUAUGUUGGGUAUAAAACAAGGUUUGAGUUCAGUAUAUUGUUUGCCACUUCUUUUAAAGUUCUGUUUUCCUUGUUGCGACCUCUUAAUGUCAUUUUUCCUUUUUUGACUUUCAAAAAAAAGUACAUUUCUUGAUCACCUGUGAAACAAAUUGAUUUUUGUUUUAUUGACUUUUGCAAAUUUGUAUAUUAAACUGUGAGGGCUAGAAAUGAACUUAAAUACAAAAGUUCAUCAUAAAACUGUUUUCAGUAAGUGGUGUGUUCUGAAAAUAAGCCCAUUAAAAAUGAUUUUCUCCUGUGAAACCAUGCAUUUCUGGAUUACUUUCAGCAUAGUGAUAUUUUCAAAUCAUUCCCUAGAAGUCAGAUUAUGGCAGCUUCCACUGGUCCGUCUGCCAUUUUACCAUGGACCUCAAAUAGAAAACACACAAACUUGUCUUUUAAACUGAUCUGACAUUCAUGUUGAGCUUUUUUUUUUUUUUUUUUUCUUCCUGCCGUAAAGGGGGUUAUUGAUUGAGAGUAAGUUGUGUAAGGGCGGACUAACCUCCCUUUUUGUUUUUUGUUUAAUUGUUUGUGCCUCUUCCCUUUAUUUCCCAGAUUGCAGGCCAUGCAUAGCACUGAUUCCCAGCUGCGCUGAGACCCGAAUUGUUUGCAGUGUG